GUCUGUGCAUUGACUUUGUUUGUAAACUACUCUGUGUGAACACAGCAUUAAGAACCAUGUGUACGCUUGUAAUAUGUGCUGCUCUAAAGCUGAUUUCAAUAUUUGUCUUGCAGAUCCAGGAUGAGUUUCCCUGAAUCUCCACGUGCAGCUUGAAUCAAAGUUCAUGUCCGAGCAGGAGGAACCCACUCUCAAUCUUCUCAACCUCUUCCACUCAAAGUGCAGCCAUGGAGCUGAGGCUGAAGGCUAAAGGCAUCCUAUUCAAGACAUCCAGCAUCUCGAGCAUUACCACGACCAGAGAAGCUGUCAUUCAGGGUCUACCUUAUAGAGACGAUGGAUCAACUCAUAAAAGAGUGUGAUGAUGCUGGUGAAGACACCGUUUCACGGGACCUUGCAAUACAAAAGAUGAAAAUCUACAGGAAUAAGACGAACACGUCGAAGAGUCCAGAUGUCGGUAUCGUGUUGGACGGAGUAAAAGUUCUGACUGCACCGAGGGACUUUGCAAGGGCUUGUCUGCUGGUUGGGUUUGCAUAUCCAGUCAAUCUUGCACAUUCAAAGAAACUUAAACACAUUUAAGGUGUUCCAAGUUUUCUUGGAGCUGGACUGUUCAAACCUUUGACCCUUGGAGAAAACAAGGGAAUUGUUGUUACUGUUAGAACUCUCCAAUGUGGUUACUGUUUGUUCAAUGCAUGGUAAUUAUAUUUUUAAGAUUCACAUUGAGAAGUUUAGGUUUGGCUCUUUCCUGGAGUUCAGUUUUAGUGUUGCUAUAUAGUGUUAAUACUGCUUUAUUUGUGUUGUUCAAAUGUAUAUAAACCAUGCUUAUUUAAUGCAGCUUUUCCUGUAUGUAUUUAUAGAAAUUUGCACAAAUAAAGUUUAACCUGCGGUACUUAUGUAUGAUGAUGUGUUUGUUAAGUUUACU